rnacentral:rRNA from 1 species
UACGUAGGGUGCAAGCGUUGUCCGGAAUUAUUGGGCGUAAAGAGCUCGUAGGCGGUCUGUCGCGUCGGCUGUGAAAUCCCGAGGCUCAACCUCGGGUCUGCAGUCGAUACGGGCAAACUAGAGUAUUGCAGGGGAGACUGGAAUUCCUGGUGUAGCGGUGAAAUGCGCAGAUAUCAGGAGGAACACCGGUGGCGAAGGCGGGUCUCUGGGCCGAUACUGACGCUGAGACGCGAAAGCGUGGGGAGCGAACAGG